UUUUCUUUAUGGUAUUUAUAUUAUCACCCAGUAGAUUCACAUCAUCGGCAUACACCAAUAGCUGAUGUGUCCCAUUUAACUAAGUCCCACCUGGAAUAUUGCUUACUAGGAUGAUAAAAUCAUCAAUGGGAAAUGUAGCAUGCAUGGGACAGAUAUGAAAUUUAUACACAGUUUCCAUUAGGAAACCUGGGGGUGAACAGACCACUUGGAAGAUGUAACUGUAGAUAAGAAUAUAAUAUUAACAUAUUCAUAGAUCUUAAAGAGAUAGGAUGGAAGGGUGUGGGCUGCAUUUGUCUGGCUGAGGACAAGGACCAGUGGUAGGUCCUUGUGAGCGUGGUAAUGUACCUUUAUGUUCUGUAAAAUGCUGAGGAUUUCUUGAGUAGCCAAGCCAAUUUUAGCUCCUCAAGAAAGACUCAGCUCUGUGGAGUUAGGUAGCUAGUCAAACAAACAUGUAUUGCAUGUUAAGUAAGGUCCUUGUCACAGCACAAUAGAUGUUCAGGUUAUAGACAGAAACAGUCUCCAGAUGCAGGAGGUACUUGCAAAUGCAUACAAAUUAAUUAUCAUGCUGGGGAGGAGACCAUAAACUCCUCGCAGGGACAAAUUUUUUUGUAUAAUCAAAGCAAUUGACUCUCAACUUCUUGUUCAAUUUGCAUUCCAGUGAUUUUCUUUUUUCAUUUUUAAAAUUAUCCCACCAGUAUGCUUCAAGCUUCUCUCUUUCCAAGACCAUUAUACUCAUUAUUAUGAGCAUAAAAAGACUGCAAAAAUUUUGGAAUGUUUUAUUGUACUUAUAUACAUCUUAGGACCAACAAUGAAGCAUUAAUGAAAAAUGUGUGAUUACAAUUCAGGAAAGAUUUGUAUAACUGAAUUUGGGCUUACUGUAUUCAUUAUUAUUGCCAUCCCAUGACUUCUUCAUUCAUGCAUCAAGUGAAACACAUCCCACUAAGAAAGAUUGAUGUAAGCGACAGGAAAAUUGCAAUUGGCCCACUUGUCUUUCAAAGUAAUUUCAAUUUUAUAUGUUGGCACCACUGCUCGGAAAUCUCGUGGAGUUCGUGAUCGUUCGUGAUAUUCGUGAUGUUCCUAAUGAUUGCGCCAUGCCCGCCAUGACAGCCAUGACAGUGUCACAUGGAGGCAGUUUUGCUGAAAGAAUUUGAAUGUUAACGUUUUGAAGUGCUAAGCAGGUAAGUGUUGUUGAAAAUCAGUAUUAAAAGAAGUAAGACGUAUGAUAUAAAUCUGUAACAGUAAUAACAACUUUACUCGUCAAAUGAAAGUGAGUUACUUAAACCAUGUAAAUAUAUAGUUUUGUGUGUGCUGGGAUUAUGCAUAGAAAUAUUAAAUUUAUUACUCACGGGUUAUAGUGAUUAGGCUGCGGACUGGAAAAUCGCGAAUUCCGAGUUCUGUACCCUGCAAGGGCAAGAGAUUUUUCUUUUUCACUGUUCAAACCGGUUCUGCACACCACAGAGCCUCUUGUUAAGUGUGUAUAGGAACCCCUUCACCGGAAGUAAAGUUGCCGGUUCGUGAGUUAAGCCCCUCACCCCAACCUAGUGCUAAGGUUAAGAAUGCGUGAAGCAGCACCUCUGCGUCUUUAUGACAUUGUAUGUAAAUAAACACAAGAACUUUUUGUAUACCCCCUGUUGAUGGUCUUGUAAGACUAAAAUGUGUCAAUGUCUGUCUAACACAGUCUGCUGACGAAAUAAACGAGAUAUACUUGGAUGGUAACUUGGAUUUGAUUUUACAGGAACUCGCGUUUUGCUACCGUGUAAUUAACUUAGCAUAACACAGAAAAUGUGACAAGCUUUGCAACAAAAAGUUCUGCCACUUGUUAAUAUUUAUUUUUGAAGUUUAAGAGGCAGUGUAAGUCAAAAUAAUGGCUAAGAAUUCCGUACCUUUGUAUUUCAAUGUAAGAUUUGUAUAGUUUAGGAUUUGAGUGUUGUAUGAGAAACUUUCUGUUUGUACAUUAUGAACCAUCUGAACAUGCUGGAAUAUAAUAGCCAUUUUCUGCAUAAAGUAUCCCAGGCUGUUAUUUUGAGAAGGUAUUUUUUAUGAACUGUGAAAUAUUUUAUGAUGGUGAAAUAUUUCAGAAGGAAUGCAAAUUGUUAAUCUUACAGUGUAAUCAAAAGGUGUAUAUUAUACAAGAAUUAAAUUGUAUAUUUGUAACAAGCUCCCAGUAAGAACUAGAAGUCUGUCCAGACACCAGACAUUUCAUUUAGCAGUACCUUUUUUGCAUACCUUUCAUCAGACACCAAAUACUCUGUGGGAACUGCCCACAUUCAAGCAAGUGUGACAACGCAAGCCUCAUUGCAAAAGCCAAGUUCGACGCCAUGUUGCGGGAUGGUACAGCUCGUCGAUCAGAGAGGUCAUGGUCCUCAGCACUACACAUUGUGCCCAAGAAAGACAGCGGUUGGCGUCCCAGCGGCGACUACAGAGCGCUUAACUCCCACAUCUCUGUUAAUGAAUUUGUAAUGUGUAGCAAAGGUAUACACACCGUCCCCGAACUAUUGAUGAACUGAAGGCUGCCAUCACCGAAGAAAUCAACGCUGUUCCACGGAAUAUGACUCGUAGAGUCAUGAAAAACUUCCAAAACAGGCUCCAUCAGUGUAUGGAAGACAGAGGUGGCCAUUUGGAAGAUAUUAUUUUUAAAUCCCAUUAAACUAAAACUGCAUUCUAUGUACUUUCAAAUAAUAAAAUAAUUUUGCCUGCAUCUUUCUUUAUUUCUAUUCCAUGCAUUUUUGAAAUCGGAAAGGUCUAUGUGUCCCACUCUGUAGUAUAGACUCAGCCAUUUUUAUAAUUAAGGAUAUCCUUAUUGCAUUGAAUGGUACCUUAAAUGAAAUGCUGCUUGCUCUUGCAGCUAAGUUAAAUGAUAGCUUAUCAUUCAAGGUACUUAGAUUCCCUACUCAUCACACCAGCCCCUUUCUCAUCCCAGCAAACAAAAGAGAAAAUGGUUACAUGGUGGCAGCAACAGGAUAAAAAGUGAUUGAGACUUCUCUGGAAAGGCCGGAGGGACUUCAUUUUGAGGAUUCUGAGGUGCAAAAGUACCUGGAAGGGAGUAGUUGCUAAGUCCAUGGAAGGAAGCUAUCAGCAGCCUGUGUUACAUCCCAAGGGACAGCACAGGUGAUCAGCCAGUAGCAGCAGCCAAUGAAACCUCCAGGGCACCUCUACUCUGAACUUCGGUGUUGCAACAAUCCUUCGCUUUCUGCUUCAGAAAACAGUUGAGGAAUGUUCCAAAAUACAAUAACCUUCUCUGCUGAGGGCUACGUAAAUGAACGAAGAACCUUAAAUAAAGAGCGUCACACAGUGCACUGGAGGGUGCUGGAUAAGCAGCGAGAGCCUAAAGGUCAUUGUUUUACGCUACUCAUAGUUUGAGACUGCAGGAGUCAUCAAGGAAAAUGGUUGUAAUGACCACACAGGACUCACUGAAGGAGCUGUUGACAUACCAGUGACCCUUAAGCUAGACCCAAAAGGAUAAUCCAUGUAGUGAUCAAGCUGAAAAGUGGAAAAGGACAGUUGGACCAAAGCAGAACAAAAUUGAUUUGUGACUGGCUUAAUAAGGAUGAGGAGGACUUUGAAUACCGAAAUCCCGCUGAAGAGGAUCAGGAAGAUGAGAAGAUAGAAGAAACAUGAUCAAACCUGAAAUUUUCAGGAGUGAAACAAAACUUCGACUCUAUAAUCAGUUGUGUGGACUGUAACCCACAGUACAACAGGAGAACCAGGGGAAGUGCCUCAGCCCACUGUUAGUCCACGUGGCACAUGAUGGCUGCCUUCAAUGUCCGGUGGAAGUGUUCCACAAGUCCGUUAGCUGCUGAGUGGUGGGCGGUUGUACGUGAGAGCUGGAUGCCGCACAGCCCCUGGAUACUGCUGCUUGCGAGCUGUCUGCGGCGUCCAGCUGAGUCGGGGUCACCAAUGUGAUAUUCUCUUAGGAGUGAGUGUUGUCUGAAAGACCGGCAGAACUGCGUGCUAUGUGGGAUGUUGCCACAGAAGUUUUACUGUAUUAAGGAAGUAAGGAAGGGGUUGGAUAAUAUCUUAUUUUAGUCCAAACAAUGUUGAAGUGUUUUAUACCAAUUAAAUGGUGUAAUUAUUUUGUGUUUGUAAUGAAAUAAAUGAUCACACACUUGUUUUCUAUUCUCUGCUUUAAUCUCCACAUUACAGUACCU